GGAUCAGGUGAUGAUUCUUGGAUUGAACAUCUCACGACGGUCGUCUGAGAACAAUCUGAUGCAUAAAAGAUCCAUUUCUUCUGAUGAUU
rfam:Punica granatum cultivar Dabenzi scaffold525, whole genome shotgun sequence.